GAUGAAGAACGUAGCGAAAUGCGAUAAGUAAUGUGAAUUGCAGAAUUCAGUGAAUCAUCGAAUCUUUGAACGCACAUUGCGCCCAUUAGUAUUCUAGUGGGCAUGCCUGUUCGAGCGUCAUUAAGUCCACUUAAGCCCUGCUUAGUGUUGGGAGACUGCUCCAGCGGUGCUACCCUGUAGCUACCCUGCAGCUCCUCAAAGACAGCGGCGGAGUUGUGGUAUCCUCUGAGCUUAGUAACUUGUUCUAGCUUUCGAGUACACCACUUCCCCUGCCGUAAAACCCUUAAUUUUUAAUGGUUGACCUCGGAUCAGGUAGGAAUAUCCGCUGAACUUAAGCAUAUCAAUAAGCGGAGGA
rnacentral:misc_RNA from 1 species